UCCGCCCGCCCGCCCGCCCUCCGCCGCCCUCCACCCGCCCCGGGGUCUCUUUCCCCCUUCCUCCUCCUCCUCCUCCACCCCCCCCUUCCUCCUCCGCCCGCCCGCGGGGCCCCCCUCGCCUUCCCGCCCGCCCCUAUUGUUCCGCCCCCGGCCUCCCGCCCUUCCCCUUCCCGCCCGCUCCCCCUUUCCCCCUCAGUCGCCUCGCGCCUGCAGUUUUGGCUUCACCCCCACCAGUGACCAAAGACUUGACCACUCAGAGUCCAGCUCCCAAGAACACCGCUCGAAAUGGACACCGGUGUGAUUGAAGGUGGAUUAAAUGUCACUCUCACCAUCCGGCUACUUAUGCAUGGCAAGGAAGUUGGUAGUAUCAUCGGAAAGAAAGGAGAAUCUGUUAAGAAGAUGCGCGAGGAGAGUGGUGCACGUAUCAACAUCUCAGAAGGGAAUUGUCCUGAGAGAAUUAUCACUUUGGCUGGACCCACUAAUGCCAUUUUCAAAGCAUUUGCUAUGAUCAUUGACAAACUGGAAGAGGACAUCAGCAGCUCUAUGACCAAUAGCACAGCUGCCAGUAGACCUCCGGUUACCUUGAGGCUGGUGGUUCCUGCUAGUCAGUGUGGCUCUCUCAUUGGAAAAGGUGGUUGCAAGAUCAAGGAAAUAAGAGAGAGUACAGGGGCUCAGGUGCAGGUGGCAGGGGAUAUGCUCCCCAACUCAACUGAGCGGGCCAUCACUAUUGCUGGCAUCCCGCAAUCCAUCAUUGAGUGUGUCAAACAGAUCUGCGUGGUCAUGUUGGAGACUCUCUCCCAGUCCCCUCCGAAGGGCGUGACCAUCCCGUACCGGCCCAAGCCGUCCAGUUCUCCGGUCAUCUUUGCAGGUGGUCAGGACAGGUACAGCACAGGCAGCGACAGUGCGAGCUUUCCCCACACCACCCCGUCCAUGUGCCUCAACCCUGACCUGGAGGGACCACCUCUAGAGGCCUAUACCAUUCAAGGACAGUAUGCCAUUCCACAGCCAGAUUUGACCAAGCUGCACCAGUUGGCAAUGCAACAGUCUCAUUUUCCCAUGACCCAUGGCAACACCGGAUUCAGUGGCAUUGAAUCCAGCUCUCCAGAGGUGAAAGGCUAUUGGGGUCUGGAUGCAUCUGCUCAGACUACUUCUCAUGAACUCACCAUUCCAAAUGAUUUGAUUGGCUGCAUAAUCGGGCGUCAAGGCGCCAAAAUCAAUGAGAUCCGUCAGAUGUCUGGGGCGCAGAUCAAAAUUGCGAACCCAGUAGAAGGAUCUACUGAUAGGCAGGUUACCAUCACCGGAUCUGCUGCCAGCAUCAGCCUGGCUCAAUACCUAAUCAAUGUCAGGCCUCUUAACCUAAUGAAUAUUCCCUAAAGAAGGAUUGCUGGGAAGGAAUCCAGAUGUUUAAGGGGCUGCUACAUCACCACCUCCAAAGGCUUUCCUCGGAGACGGGUGGCAUGGGGAGCAGCUAGAACAAUGCAGAUUCACCCAUAAUCCCUUUCUGCUGUUCACCACCACCCAUGAUCCAUCUGUGUAGUUUCUGAACAGUCAGCGAUUCCAGGUUUUAAAUAGUUUGUAAAUUUUCAGUUUCUACACACUUUAUCAUCCACUCGUGAUUUUUUAAUUAAAAGCGUUUUAAUUCCUUUCUCUGUUCAGCUGUUAAUGCUGAGAUCCAUAUUUAGUUUUAUAAGCUUCUCCCCGUGUUUUUUUUUUUUUUUCUUCUUUUGGGUUUUUUUUUUUUUUUGGCUCAUGAAUUUUUCUGUUUGUCAUGGAAAUGUAAGAGUGGAAUAUUAAUACAUUUCAGUUUAGUUCUGUAAUGUCAGGAAUUUUUCAAAAAAAUUAAAAGAUGGACUGGAGCUUUUUCUUUGUGAAUAGAAACUGGAUGCCACAGUGAUUCAUGUGGGUUUUAUUCCUGUUGUCCUGCCGUUAUUUUUGUACCUUUAUCCCUCACAGGACCCUGCUUGGGUUUUGAAUAGAAGGCUCGACAUCCAGUUAUUUUCUUCUGUUUGACCACUCAUCUUUUUUAUUGGCCAUUGGUCUUAUUUCCUGUGACCCUGUACUUGGUUGACCAUUGUUAAAACCUGUGCCCAAAAGAAAAACUUUCCUUGGCUUUAGAACAGGCAAGCGCUUCCACCAGGUUGGGGGGGGGGACGCUCGUCACACACAAGUUGGGAGUACAUGGGUCUGACUGGAAUUCACCUUCUUUGGAAUGUCUGUGCCUUUGUUUAAGCUUGCAUAUUUUAAGUCUCUUUGUUUUUAAUUAUUUCAUUUAUAGUCCUUCUCGAUAACAAGAGAACAUAUUUAA